AUCCAGCUGAGGAGUCCCAUAUAGAACGAAACAUGCGUCAAACUGGAU
rfam:Schistosoma rodhaini strain Burundi genome assembly, scaffold: SROB_scaffold0002112